rnacentral:rRNA from 1 species
UGGGGAAUCUUGGACAAUGGGGGCAACCCUGAUCCAGCCAUGCCGCGUGAGUGAUGAAGGCCUUAGGGUCGUAAAGCUCUUUCGCCUGUGAAGAUAAUGACGGUAGCAGGUAAAGAAACCCCGGCUAACUCCGUGCCAGCAGCCGCGGUAAUACGGAGGGGGUUAGCGUUGUUCGGAAUUACUGGGCGUAAAGCGCACGUAGGCGGACCAGAAAGUUGGGGGUGAAAUCCCGGGGGCUCAACCCCGGAACUGCCUCCAAAACUAUUGGUCUAGAGUUCGAGAGAGGUGAGUGGAAUUCCAAGUGUAGAGGUGAAAAUUCGUAGAUAUUUGGAGGAACACCAGUGGCGAAGGCGGCUCACUGGCUCGAUACUGACGCUGAGGUGCGAAAAGUGUGGGGAGCAAAACAGGAUUAGAUACCCUGGGUAGUCCACACCGUAAAACGAUGGGGUGCUAGGUGUUGGGUAGCUUGCUAUUCAGUGCCGAAGCUAACGCGUUAAGCACCCCGCCUGGGGAGUACGUCGCAAGAUUAAAACUCAAAAUGAAUUGAC